UUUAAUCUUAACGGCUGGGAAUUUCAACAGUAAUGAAAGUAGAAUGUAAACAGAUAUUUAUGAAUAUGCAAUCUUGAGCAUAUGAACGCCGCUCACAUUUCGUACGAGCGUGAAGCGUUUAUUUUCAUAUUGGCAAAUCUUCGGAUAUAUUGAAUUGAUAUAUUUAUAGGAAAUAUUUGCAAUUUUUACUAUGUAAACUAAUUAAUUGCAGAUAUCGUGGAAUUCCUUGGAAAAAUGAAAACGCUCUUAUGGAAAGCUGGGCAGAAUAAAUGGACGACAGUGGUGUUUGAUGAGAAACUUAAUCAACUUCUGUCAGAAAAUGAGUUUGCCUUUAGAUGUCAGAGUGCGAAUGAUGUCUGGAAAUUGCUAGCCGUUUCCACGAAAGGUAAUGAGAUGUAAAGGUAAAGUGUAGAAUUUACCGGUAGCAUUACUCGUCUUUACAAUAUCUCCAUACAUGCACUGGUACAUGUAAAUUAAAUUUAAAGCGAGCUUAAUGUAUACAAUACGAAUGUUUAAAAACAUGAACUAGAAAAUGAUUUAAAUUUCAUACAGGUUCUCGGUUACCAAACCUUCCCCCGAGACGGAGGUCUGGCUACGAAAACUUCUAUCAAGACAAGUGACUACCGACGUCCCCUCCGUUCUCCCUGCCAUCCUCCAAGUAUACACGAAUUACAUCAAAGGGACAGUUAGAAACUUAGAACAAGUGGCCAUGGAGAACCACAUGAUCAAAGGAUACGCGGCCGACAUCACCGACUUCAUGUUAAAGUUCCUCGGUAAGUAUUAUACAAUAUUCGAGAAUAUAUAGAGCGUGUUCCAAAUUUCAGCAGCAGUUGUAUAUUACGAUACAGACAAUUAGAAAACUUAUUAAUCAAGUGUAGGACCAGAUCAGCUUAGAUAUUUAGAAUCCAUCUUUGAAUACCUGGCAACCACAAAGACAAACGACAGGGAGAUCUACGGGGACUAGACAAUGGCGAUUCUCCACAACGCUCGCUCGAAGUUUGGGUGUACACCUUCAACAUGGUUGAAACAAUCCCAGAAGAUCCAUACUUGUGUUGCAAGUUUUCCCUCACCCUUUUGAAAAUUAAAAAAAAAUUCAGAAAAACAUUUAUUUUUGUUUGUAAUGAAUGUAAUUCAAAAAUGGAAUUUGUAUUGUGGAAUAAUGUAUCAUGAUUUAAACAAUUGUGUAUCAGCCUGACAGUGAUAAACUUGAGGAGGAAUAGGUAAUUUUCUAUGCAGUAGACAUGUCGAAUAAACUGUUCAUACUAGAACCCGAUGCUACAUGGUAAAUUAGCCCUGUUGGUCUUGCAAGGGAAAUUUAACUAUAAUGGUCAGGGACAGAUCCAGGAAUUGCGGUUAGGGGGCGCAACUUUAUGAGGCAUUAGGUCUAGGGCGAAGCCCUGGUGGGGGCCCAGGGGGCGAAGCUCCUGGAUUUUACAAGAUUUUAGAGGGCUUGAAAUAUGUCUCCUAUGUAGUCAUUUUUGAUAGAGGGAAAUCAAUAAAAUGACGUAAAUUUUAAGGGGUUUUGGAAAAAAAUGUAAGUUCUCCCAAUAAAAGUAAUUCAAUAAAUCAAAAGAUUGUCAUUUAUUGCUCCGAGUGGAAGAAAUUAUUGCUUUCAUCGUUUACAUUUUUCUAAACAAAGAGACCACGAUUUACCUUAAAUUUAAAAUUUUUAGGGGUGAGUGGGGGUGCCCCCCCCCUUAAAUCCACCACCGAUAGCAUUUUCCAUUUUUUUGAACCAUGAAAGUCGUCUGAAACCAAAUUCGUGUGCAAUAUUGGGUUUUUACCACGGGACCACAACUUUCCCACCCACUCCUUUUGAUUUUUUGGGCGGCAAUUUCGAUUGAUGUAAUUGUUUCACGCUUUUUGUAAGCUUUAAAGAGAUUUGUGUAUUCUACUGAUAUGAAAUGCAGGUGAAAGGAAUUUUCCUCCCCUCCCCUGUGAUGAAGUUGGGAAGUAUGGCCCGUACACAAUCCUCGCACGACCAUAAACAAUUCCAAAACUGCACAUAUAAGAUUUCCGAUCAAAUGAUGCCCCUAGUGGCGGAUGUAGAGGGGGUUGCACACACACACACUUUUGCGUUGAUCUCUUCAAAUAAUGAUCUCUUCAAAUCUGAAUUGUAGCGCACAUUUAAUGAAUUGGUGAUAGCUUGGAUUAUUCUGCUGAAUCGAUUAUCGCUGUAAUUGUAAAUGAAUUCUAGUAGUUCAAUCAAAUGCGUGUCAUAAUUGAAUUAUUGCUCUCUUCAGUUGAAUUAAUGGUAUCAUUAAUGAUGCUCGCGAUAAUUAUUUUAGGGAGAACUAAAUGAUUAGAGAUCUUCAAUUCAACUUAUCCACAUUGAAUUAAUAGUGAUCUCUUUACUUGAAGUGUUGCUCCCUUAAAAAGAAUAUAUGCGCGCAAAAGCAUUGUAAAUCCUUAGAAGAGAUCAUCAAAUCAUUUAAACCGAGCUCCAAAUCAAAUUUUGCGAGCAAUCAUUCCAUCACAUUGCGCGCAUCAUUGAAUUUGAGCAAUGAUUGAUACGCGCAUCUAAUCAAUUACUGCUCUCAUUGAAUGAAUUAAUCAGUGCUCUCAUCAAUUGAAUCUAUGCGCGUAUCAAUUCAACUGCAUGAUGAGAGUGAUAUUUGAUUUGAUGCGUGCAUCAAUUCCAAUUAUUGCGUGUUAUAAUGAAAUUGAUAUCUUCAAGUAAAUAACGAUAUCUUCAAUUAUUUGAGUUUAUGUUAAUUAGGCGCUCCAAACAAACUCAGGUUGCAACACCCCCACCCCCACCCCCUUAAAAUUUUCUGUAACUGCCCAUAUGUAUCAGUGGUCAUUUGUAUCAUCGCAGAAUAGACAACUUUAAAGUGAUGCAUAUUCAUGUUCCAUACUGCUGCAGUUGACUACAAAUGCGAUUUGAAUAAAUAUUUGUUUUUGACCUUGACCCCAUCCUCAAGGUUGGAACCCAAUCGCGUCAAAAUUUAAAAUGUGUGUACAGUUGCAACCAUUUCAGUUUUCGUACAUCGUGGUGUUAGGAUUAGCAGCCCAUUUACAACUAAUAUUCAUCGUUGGAAAGUGAACCAGGUCCAUUUUCAAAUACAGGUUUAAAGGUUGGGUUUGGGUUUUUUUACGCUGAAGGUAAAUGUAUGGGGAAAGAAGUAAUAAAAAGAUACAAACUUAUACAGAUUAUUACACAUUUAAAAGAAAUCGAUCGAACACGUUGUUCGAGAAAUCGUGUGCAAAAUUGUUUUGAGGGAAAGAAGAUAGAAGACCUGAAUUUGAAAGGUUCAGAUUUCAUUAAUUUCAUUUUUACGUGUUGCACUGUGAAAUUUGAUCUAAAUCGAUUCGUGUACAGAUGCUACCUAUGUACACUCAUGAUAAAUGUACAUGUAUGUAUAAAUUAUAUAAAUCGCAAAGAUUGUGUACCAUCGGAAUAACUUUGAAUUCAGACAUGUCUCCGAAACUUUCCACAGUAUCCGUUGUCGUGUGUUCGAUGUUGAUCGUAGGACUGUUGGAGGGAACUUUGCUGGACUCUGUUUUAAAGAAACCCACGACCCUUAUUCAGCUUGAAUAUAGAAGUUUUCAAAAUCUCCUGAAGCUGAAAAAAGAAAGUUCAAAUACAGCAACAGUUGCAUUCACAGCACAACUAGGAGGUGAUCUACGAAAUGUGAAAUCCCAUGAAACUAUUGUUUAUAAUCACACGAGACUGAACUCUGGCAACAGUGACGAUGGUAAGACGGGAAUCUUUACAGCACCAACUUCCGGGAUCUACUACUUUUCCUGGACAAUAUUAGCUAGACCGAAAUUCCCUUUCAAUACUGCCAUUGUGAUCAACAAGUCAAAACACUAUCAAGCCUACAACCACUGUGUUUCAUCUAUAAACCAGUAUCGCAUGUGUUCCAAGUCUGUCCUGCUCAACUUAACAACUGGUGACAAAGUCUGGAUAGUGGCUUAUCGCAUGUCAGUCGAGUAUGCUCAUGGUGGCACCUGGCCACAAUUUUCUGGAUUCAAAUUAGCUUAAUGUGUUCAUGUCCCAGAUUCACUGAAGCAUUACUGGUAUUUUACCUGUACAUGUAUCACAAGAAAUAAAUUAAUUGGGGCAGAA